GAGAGGAAGGUCCCCCACAUUGGUACUGAGACACGGACCAAACUCCUACGGAGGGCAGCAGUGAGGAAUAUUGGUCAAUGGGCGUAAGCCUGAACCAGCCAAGUCGCGUGAGGGAUGAAGGUUCUAUGGAUCGUAAACCUCUUUUAUAAGGGAAUAAAGUGUGGGACGUGUCCUAUUUUGUAUGUACCUUAUGAAUAAGGAUCGGCUAACUCCGUGCCAGCAGCCGCGGUAAUACGGAGGAUCCGAGCGUUAUCCGGAUUUAUUGGGUUUAAAGGGUGCGUAGGCGGCCUUUUAAGUCAGCGGUGAAAGUCUGUGGCUCAACCAUAGAAUUGCCGUUGAAACUGGGGGGCUUGAGUAUGUUUGAGGCAGGCGGAAUGCGUGGUGUAGCGGUGAAAUGCUUAGAUAUCACGCAGAACCCCGAUUGCGAAGGCAGCCUGCCAAGCCAUGACUGACGCUGAUGCACGAAAGCGUGGGGAUCAAACAGGAUUAGAUACCCUGGUAGUCCACGCAGUAAACGAUGAUCACUAGCUGUUUGCGAUACAGUGUAA
rnacentral:rRNA from 1 species